CCUACGGGUGGCAGCAGUGAGGAAUAUUGGUCAAUGGGCGGAAGCCUGAACCAGCCAAGUAGCGUGAAGGAUGACUGCCCUACGGGUUGUAAACUGCUUUUAUACGGGAAUAAAGUGACUUACGUGUAGGGUUUUGCAUGUACUGUAUGAAUAAGGACCGGCUAACUCCGUGCCAGCAGCCGCGGUAAUACGGAAGGUCCGGUCGUUAUCCGGCUUUAUUGGGUUUAAAGGGAGCGUAGGCCGUUUGUUAAGCUGGCUGUGACAGUUUGCGGCUAAACCCGGACAUUGCAACAGAGACUGGCAUUCUUGAGUACAGUGGAAGUAGGCGGAAUUCGUGGUGUAGCGGUGAAAUGCUUAGAUAUGACGAAGAACCCCGAUUGCGAAGGCAGCUUACUACAGCGGCACUGACACUGAUGCUCGAAAGUGUGGGUAUCGAACAGGAUUAGAUACCCUUGUAGUC
rnacentral:rRNA from 1 species